GGAAAAAGACAAAAAAACCAAGAAAUGCAUGAAAAUGGAAAAACAACUAAGUAAAGUGUAAACUAAAGAAAUCUUCAACUCUUUAAAAAGUCCCCAAGCACCCUACUGUAGCACCAAACUUACUCCUAAAUUUACUGUUCCUUAGGAAUAGGGAAAUACCGCCUUUUCCCUUUGCCCCCCUUCCUGGAGCACCAAAAUUCCAGCGGUAGGAUUGUCAUUUUGAUUUCCUUCGUUGCUUUGUCCCCUUUCUCUUUCCCAGGAUCGUGCUUCCAUCUUUCUCUUUCUCUCUCUAAAAUCAAACUUUCAAGCUUACUUUCUCUCUCAUUUUCUUCUGGAAUCAUCAUCUCCAAAUUUCUUCAAUUCACUUGUUAUUGAUCACCGUUGCCAUCCCCUUUCCCUCUUUCCAUGGAUUGCCCUAGGAUUUUUGAACGGUGGGUGAAGGGCGGUGGUGGUAGCGGUUGUUUCAGAUUUCCAGCUGUUGUUUCAUAUUUCUAACGGUGGUGGUAGCGGUGGUUUCAUGUCCGAUUACUUUUGUAGAGCUUCAAAAGCUAACCCAGAUGCUUCAAGAGAAUCACCAGUAGAAUUCUUUGCAGAGAAGAAGAAUAUUGUUGGAGUUGACAAUUUGGGUGUUAAUGAUUCUGCAAAUUAUCACCUGGGUAUAAUCUGAUAAGGCUCAAUUAUCAUGGAGAUCGGUUUUAAUGGCAGACUUGCGGGAUUUGAAAUUCAUGGGUUUUACACCAUGGAAGAAAGAGGUACGAGGCAUCAAAAUUAUAUUGGGUUGGUUUCGGAAUAUUGUAGCUGUUCUUGCUAUUGGUGUUUUGCAAGGAGACUGUAUUGUUAUUUUUACUGAAAAUCGUUUGAUGGAAAAAAGAAUUCGAUGAUUUGAAGAUGUCGAGAUGAUGAAAUUUUAGGUUCAGGUUGUUUUAGAAUUACUGAAAGUUUGAUGGCAAAGGUAGAUUUUUUAUGUUUGAAUUUGAUGAACAAGACUAGAGAAGACAAUUGGUUAUGUAUGAGGUUAAAAUUUCUUUGAAAGCUAGGAUUCGAUGAGAAUCGUAUCACUUAUGCUUCUUAAAACAUAUAUUAUGAGGUUGUGUUGAUCAAAUAGCGCAGAUUAAAGCAUAUAUUAUGAGGUUGUGUUGAUCAAAUAGAGGAAUGAAUAUGCUUUGUGCCCUAUCUCUCAUUCUCCUCCAUUGAAGCGUACUUUAAUUUCUCUGUUUAAAUGGCUUGUGCCUUUGUAAGCUUUCUCUCCUCUAUUGAAGGAGGUUUUGAGGUAAGAUGUUUUUCUUAAUUAGUGAAUAUAGAUUAAUAAUCUAGGGUUAAACGUUGAUUAAUACCAAUAAUGAGGCAAGGAGAGGUCAUGGGAGUUUCCCAAAGACCGUUUUGCCCCUCUCCUUAGAUGACUAUUGUUUACGGUGGUUAUCUUUCGCAGGUGAUUUAUCCGGACACUGUUAAAACGGUCCUCAAACAAUCUGUCUAGAACCUUAGCUGCUUUAUCUGUCUCUGUGAUCUGUGACUGUGCAACUCUGCUGAAUGCCUGACUGUAGGCUUCUUGAUCUUCUAACCACAAAAUACACCAACCAUUAUGGGCUGUGAUGAGUGUACACCAUUCAAAGUAGUCAAAUUUAAUAUGGAGAAUUCUUUGAGGUUAUGGGUGUUUUUUUUUCAUUUGGCUUGGAAGAAAUAUCAAUUGUUGGUUUAUUUUAUACGAUGUAUUAUUUUUAUUUUGUGGUUUGGUUCAGUUAGACUUUGGAAAUUAUUUGGCCCAAUCUGAUUGAUGAGUCAAAUCAUGAAAUUUGGCCGGAAAAUAUUUUUUAAGUCUGAACUAAUAAUUAUAUAUUAUACCCUAAUUUUUUUUUAUAUAUUUUUUAUUUUUUUUAAUAAAUAUUAUGGGUUUAAAGAUUUAAGUUACAAGGAUGAAGGAUUGAAAUCAUCAAAAUAUUGAUCAAAUGGUUCUCUUACAGCAUCCCAAAUUCGUUUGAAUAUGCAACAAGUAAAUGCAAAAUAAUACUACGAUUCUUGGUACGCAGAGUACAUUGGAGUAAGGUAUGCUAAUGCUUGUGAUUUUGUAUUGGAUGUUUCUCGUUUUUAGUAAUGUUACUCAUCCAAAUAUAAUUCGCCUUUUUGUAGCCAUUGAGGUUGAGAUUAUUAUUGUAGCCAUCCCAAUAUUAAUGUCCAUGUUGAUUAAUUAUGUCUGUCAGACCCGAGAUUGAUGCUUGUUGGCAAUUAUAGGCCUCUAUUCAUAUAUCUUGCAGUAUGUGACAGAGAAAAGUGAUAGGUCAUGAUUAUUUGUUUUGCUGAGACGUUUGAUGUGACGUCAUAUUCCUCUCUCUCUCCUUUCCUUCCACCGGUUGAUGUGACGUCAGUCCCUAUAUCUCAGGUUUUUCUACACAGCUGCAUUCUUCUACCGACUUAAUUGAGCAACUACAAGAUUUCAAUGGUAGAAAUUUGGUUAUUUAUUUAUAGCCAAUUUGAAAAAUUGAGGAAAUUUUGUAAGUAACAUAUGCCAUCAGUAAUCUAAAUA